rnacentral:lncRNA from 1 species
GAAUACCAUCGGAGCUCCUCUGGAACAUGUCCUUGUCUUCUCAGAGUGUGAAGUGAGUGUGUGACAGUGCUUUUCUGAGGACUCAGGUGACCUGGAGGCUGGAGAACAGCAUGGAGCAAGGAAAACAAAGGCGAUGUGCUGGAGUGUAUGUUGCUUUCAUAAUUAUGUGAAAGAAAAUGUAGAGAAAUUUGAAAGAGGAGAACUGGUUAUCAGUAGUGCCGUCCUCCUCAAAUAUCUUCAAAUACACACCACCAUCCAUGUGUGGGUUGAUUAAGGAGCUGACGUUCAUUAGAUCUGCAGUCUCCUGACCUGAUGUGCAUCAGAAUCACUGGGAGAACAAACAAACAAAAAUGAAUCCAAAACAAGCAACGAACAGACAGAUUCUCAAGUCUUGCCAAGUCCAAAGAUUGAUUUGGUGGAGAAAUUGUACUUUGAAAGCUGCCCA